ACCAAAAAGCCGCCGUGGGAACUUUACGUCUUCCAUGGAGACGUUCGCGUGGCCUUAAACCCCGAUGUCAAACCAUUGAUCUGUUUCUCUUCGCACCCCACGCCUCGACGCGUACAGUGGUUGAAGCCUAACUACUCUUUCGACCUCCACAGCUUGCCGCACAGGCUCUGUGCUAUCCUAGCCGCUCUACCGUCACUCACGACGCAUUUAUCUUAUAGGCUUUAUUUGCUAUCUUUUCGUAUCGGUAAGUUAGACCGUACAGUAAGAUCUGUCGACAUCCAAGGAGCCGAUGUGGACCCAGAUGGCUACGCUGAAGCCGUGGGAAAUCUCGAGACACAUGGCAAGACAUAA
rnacentral:lncRNA from 1 species